AUUGAACGCUGGCGGCAGGCCUAACACAUGCAAGUCGAACGAGUGGCGGACGGGUGAGUAAUGUCUGGGAAACUGCCUGAUGGAGGGGGAUAACUACUGGAAACGGUAGCUAAUACCGCAUACCAUCGGAUGUGCCCAGAUGGGAUUAGCUAGUAGGUGGGGUAACGGCUCACCUAGGCGACGAUCCCUAGCUGGUCUGAGAGGAUGACCAGCCACACUGGAACUGAGACACGGUCCAGACUCCUACGGGAGGCAGCAGUGGGGAAUAUUGGACAAUGGGCGAAAGCCUGACGCAGCCAUGCAGCGUGUAUGAAGAAGGUUUUCGGGUUGUAAAGUACUUUUAGUGGUGAGGCGUUAACCGAACAAGAAGCAACGGCUAACUCCGUGCCAGCAGCCGCGGUAAUAC
rnacentral:rRNA from 1 species